rnacentral:misc_RNA from 1 species
ACAUGCAUAAGGACUCCUAUG